AAAACUAAACAAAAUGGUCUUAUGGUCUCGUUCUGUGGUCUCGUUGCCGAGAAGUUCUCUUGAUAAUUUCCUGUGCUACUUUGUUAGAAUUUGUAGCUUACAAGUUCACCGUGCGAGAGCGUCGACAUUCUACUGUAAAAACUUCCAUAGCCAUUGUGUGUUUUGGAUAGAGCCGAUAUGAUAAAAAGUUUGUGGAUAAUGUUCGUUGAUAAAUUGCAAUGUGUGAAUGCUGAUCGACUUUGUCAUACUAACUCAUACUCAUACUAAGAGAUGUAAGCAACAAUAACAAGUUUCCUGAAGAAUGUUCCAAUCGGACAGUUGGAAACAAUUAUGUCUGUAUAAGUUGUGGAAUAUCUUUGGGAAAGCAGUCACGAAGAUAAAAUCACAGGCCAUGGGCUUAUGGAAAGAAGUGAAGAGUGGUAUUAUAUAGAAAAACAAUCUCCGAGAUAGAUGCCUGAUGGAUGCCCAUGUAUGCAUUGUUUGCAGGAUGAGCUCACCUCAAAAGCAUUAAUAUCUAGUGAACAUAAAAGCUGUGUUAGGUGUGUUGUUGCAAUGUAUAUAGUUCUAUUUAUUAACCCCCGACGCAAAAUUGUGUAUAUGUGUCUAUCUGUAGCAUCAUAGCUCCCAAACGGAUGAUCCAAUUUUAAUAUGGUUUUUUUUUUGUUUGUAAGUUAUAUUAGUCGAGAGUGUUCUUAGCUAUGUUUGGUAGAAAUCGGUUCAGGUCUUCAAGGUCAUCAGAGAUGUUUGUUAAGUGUGAUAGGAAUGUUACACGCUCAGUUUGCUUGCAAGCAUAGGUAUGUGGGAUAAGUUAUUUUUUGCUUUUUAUAGGGUUUUUUUCACCUUUUUUCAUAAUAAUUGAGUACUUUUGUUUUGUCGGGGGUUUUUUUUGUUCAUAGAUGU